rnacentral:tRNA from 1 species
GCUCGCAUCGUCCAAUGAUAGGGCCUUGGUUUUACACACCAAUGACGAGGGUUUGAUUCCUUCUGCGAGUACCA